GCCAAGGUGGUGGAACUGGCAGACACGCUACGUUCAGAGCGUAGUCCAGUAAAAUGGGUGGGGGUUCAAAUCCCCCCCUUGGCA
rnacentral:tRNA from 1 species